rnacentral:rRNA from 1 species
AACGAACGCUGGCGGCAUGCCUAACACAUGCCAGUCGAACGAGACCUUCGGGUCUAGUGGCGCACGGGUGCGUAACGCGUGGGAACCUGCCCUUAGGUUCGGAAUAACUCCCCGAAAGGGGUGCUAAUACCGGAUAAUGUCUUCGGACCAAAGAUUUAUCGCCUUUGGAUGGGCCCGCGUUGGAUUAGCUAGUUGGUAGGGUAAAAGCCUACCAAGGCGACGAUCCAUAGCUGGUCUGAGAGGAUGAUCAGCCACACUGGGACUGAGACACGGCCCAGACUCCUACGGGAGGCAGCAGUGGGGAAUAGUGGACAAUGGGCGAAAGCCUGAUCCAGCAAUGCCGCGUGAGUGAUGAAGGCCUUAGGGUUGUAAAGCUCUUUUACCCGUGAUGAUAAUGACGGUACCGGGAGAAUAAGCUCCGGCUAACUCCGUG